GGGGGAGGGAACUCCCAGAUAGUUCAUGACUUGGUGACUUCGGUGCAGUCGCAUUCCCCCACUAUUGUGUUCCUAUGUGAAACAAGACAAUCUGCAAGUAGGAUGAAAAGAUACAUGUCUCGAUUGGGCUUGCGGGGCUUCAAUGGUGUUAACAGCAAUGGCAACAGCGGUGGUCUUGCCUUGUACUGGCAUGAAUCCUUAACAGUGGAAGUG
rnacentral:rRNA from 1 species